rnacentral:rRNA from 1 species
GAUGAACGCUGGCGGCGUGCCUAAUACAUGCAAGUCGAGCGAACGGACGAGAAGCUUGCUUCUCUGAUGUUAGCGGCGGACGGGUGAGUAACACGUGGAUAACCUACCUAUAAGACUGGGAUAACUUCGGGAAACCGGAGCUAAUACCGGAUAAUAUUUUGAACCGCAUGGUUCAAAAGUGAAAGACGGUCUUGCUGUCACUUAUAGAUGGAUCCGCGCUGCAUUAGCUAGUUGGUAAGGUAACGGCUUACCAAGGCAACGAUGCAUAGCCGACCUGAGAGGAUGAUCGGCCACACUGGAACUGAGACACGGUCCAGACUCCUACGGGAGGCAGCAGUAGGGAAUCUUCCGCAAUGGGCGAAAGCCUGACGGAGCAACGCCGCGUGAGUGAUGAAGGUCUUCGGAUCGUAAAACUCUGUUAUUAGGGAAGAACAUAUGUGUAAGUAACUGUGCACAUCUUGACGGUACCUAAUCAGAAAGCCACGGCUAACUAUGUG